rnacentral:rRNA from 1 species
GAUCAUGCUCAGGAUGAACGCUAGCGACAGGCUUAACACAUGCAAGUCGAGGGGCAGCAUGAUUUGUAGCAAUACAGAUUGAUGGCGACCGGCGCACGGGUGAGUAACGCGUAUGCAACUUACCUAUCAGAGGGGGAUAGCCCGGCGAAAGUCGGAUUAAUACCCCAUAAAACAGGGGUCCCGCAUGGGAAUAUUUGUUAAAGAUUCAUCGCUGAUAGAUAGGCAUGCG